AACGAACGCUGGCGGCAUGCCUAACACAUGCAAGUCGAACGAGACCAUCGGGUCUAGUGGCGCACGGGUGCGUAACGCGUGGGAACCUGCCCUUAGGUUCGGAAUAACUCCCCGAAAGGGGUGCUAAUACCGGAUAAUGUCUUCGGACCAAAGAUUUAUCGCCUUUGGAUGGGCCCGCGUUGGAUUAGCUAGUUGGUAGGGUAAAAGCCUACCAAGGCGACAAUCCAUAGCUGGUCUGAGAGAAUGAUCAGCCACACUGGGACUGAGACACGGCCCAGACUCCUACGGGAGGCAGCAGUGGGGAAUAUUGGACAAUGGGCGAAAGCCUGAUCCAGCAAUGCCGCGUGAGUGAUGAAGGCCUUAGGGUUGUAAAGCUCUUUUACCCGGGAUGAUAAUGACAGUACCGGGAGAGUAAGCCCCGGCUAACUCCGUG
rnacentral:rRNA from 1 species